rnacentral:rRNA from 1 species
UCUGACGGAGCACGCCGCGUGAGUGAUGAAGGUUUUCGGAUCGUAAAGCUCUGUUGUUAGGGAAGAACAAGUGCAAGAGUAACUGCUUGCACCUUGACGGUACCUAACCAGAAAGCCACGGCUAACUACGUGCCAGCAGCCGCGGUAAUACGUAGGUGGCAAGCGUUGUCCGGAAUUAUUGGGCGUAAAGGGCUCGCAGGCGGUUUCUUAAGUCUGAUGUGAAAGCCCCCGGCUCAACCGGGGAGGGUCAUUGGAAACUGGGAAACUUGAGUGCAGAAGAGGAGAGUGGAAUUCCACGUGUAGCGGUGAAAUGCGUAGAGAUGUGGAGGAACACCAGUGGCGAAGGCGACUCUCUGGUCUGUAACUGACGCUGAGGAGCGAAAGCGUGGGGAGCGAACAGGAUUAGAUACCCUGGUAGUCCACGCCGUAAACGAUGAGUGCUAAGUGUUAGGGGGUUUCCGCCCCUUAGUGCUGCAGCUAACGCAUUAAGCACUCCGCCUGGGGAGUACGGUCGCAAGACUGAAACUCAAAGGAAUUGACGGGGGCCCGCACAAGCGGUGGAGCAUGUGGUUUAAUUCGAAGCAACGCGAAGAACCUUACCAGGUCUUGACAUCCUCUGACAACCCUAGAGAUAGGGCUUUCCCUUCGGGGACAGAGUGACAGGUGGUGCAUGGUUGUCGUCAGCUCGUGUCGUGAGAUGUUGGGUUAAGUCCCGCAACGAGCGCAACCCUUGAUCUUAGUUGCCAGCAUUCAGUUGGGCACUCUAAGGUGACUGCCGGUGACAAACCGGAGGAAGGUGGGGAUGACGUCAAAUCAUCAUGCCCCUUAUGACCUGGGCUACACACGUGCUACAAU